UUUAAGUGCAACCAUAAGUUUUCGCGUCUAACUUUGUAGUAAUUUUUUUUAUUAGAUGAUAAAACAUGAACAGUAUUUUACUCGUGACUUAUGUUUUUAAAUUUUUUAAAUUUUCUUUUCAAAUAAGACGACGAUCAAAAUUGAACGCGGAAAAUCAUGUUUGCACUUAAA
rnacentral:pre_miRNA from 1 species